ensembl:lncRNA
GUUCUCGCGAGUUUUGAGCGCAUCUCCUCUCGUCAGUGUAGCGGUUUUUUCGCAUAUUUUCUACCCUUUUUAUAAUUUGCAACGUCUGGCGGUAAACGUGCGCUUGAGGAAAAACGAGAACCGUCCCGUAAGCGUACAGCAAUCAAUGUGGAGAUGAAAUUGAAAAUAAUAAGGAAGUAUGAAGGUGCAAAGCGCUAGCCUUUAGCGCGCGGGAGCCGUAUCGAAGGAAGGAGAACGUGAAAGGAACAACUAACUUAACUAGCAUGAAAACAACAAAACGAAGAAACGUCAAGCCAAGGUGCAAUAACAGAUGGAAAAGUUAUUAAUUACGCAACAACAGCACCCUCUUGUGUUCCAGCAUACUACUGACUUAGAAAUACAUGUGAAUAGGUGGGAGAUGCAACAUCAUUACUGAAGUAAAGCUGCUGCUUCUGCGCUGCCUUUUAUGGCCUCUUCCCACACUAUUCGGUGUGAGAACCAGAGGCAUAAAGACAGUGGUUAUGACCAAGUGGUGCCCACACUGCUACUUUGGGCCUGCAACCCUGUAUUUGGAAGAACCCGAGAAGGUGAGCGCAUGAAUUGUGCUUGUGUGGUUCUCAUUAUCCAGCAUGGAGGUGGGAGCAUCAUGGUAUGGGGCUGUUUUGCUGGUCACAUAACUGGUGACUUUUACAUAGUCUGUGGUGAUCAGCAAUCUCAUUCCAUUCGGCCACCAUAGCGUAUGUUACAGGUAUGAUAUUCCAUCAAGAUUACGGCCAACAUGGGUAAACCUACAUAUUUCAACAAGAUAAUGACCUGAAACACAUCUCAGCAUCAUUCAGGUCACUAUCUGUUAACAAAGAAAGUGAAGAACAGCUCAAACUAUUGAUUUGGAUGUAAAAAUCUGCCAGUUAUGAACAAAAAUACUUUCUAAGUAAGCAUAUUCAGAUUUUAGACUGGCACAACAGAUAAACACUAAUCAUGAGAGCUGCUGAUUCCCAUCCACUGACCUCCAGCCACAUGCUCUGAAUUGACGUAUGGAAUUGAUGUAAGCAUAGAAGAACCAAAGCUACAGGACUGGCUGCUUGCUGUUUCAUGUUGGUUUGAUGAGCAUUUCUAACAACUUCACUGGCUUGACCCUAGUACUGAUCCCAAAUGAUGAUGAAAAGGUUCUUCAAACCAACCAUCCUGAUCUCAGAGCGAGGUCAUUCCCCAGUCCGCUUUAUCAAUGGAGAUGGACACUUAUUAAAUUACAAUUCAUAUUAAAAUAUUAUACGACAAAAGUGCCAAUGCCAAAGUGUUAGCCAAGUACAUACUGUAGGUCCAGUAACAACACAGUGUUGCCCUUUUGCCAUCGAAUUUUUUUCUAACCAGGGUGUUUGUGAUUGCUGCUCCAGCAUUCCAUCCAGGUCUUUUAGAUGUCUACAGGCAUCAGCACCAAUUCUCUUGUAGAACACUAUUAUUCUGGAGUGUGUAAAGAAAGUUGUCUACUUGACAGGGUGUCUCAGGUGCGCACACCCUGUUCUGUCCAAGUCAAGCGGUGGUGACAUCGGUUCGCGUGGUGCAGAGUCUGAAAGAACCCAACUGCUGAAGUACACAUAGAAACAAAAAUGCGACAUUUCCUAUGUCUCUGUGACUCGUAUUAAGAUGACAUCUGUGCUUUUGUUUGAGUAAUGGAGCUGUAUUGUGAGUCACAUGCCAUCAGGUGCGUUGGCAUUUUGGCGGGGGACCAGGAGGGGUGGUCGUCGAGGGAGGAUGACCAUAGUUUCUGGUGCUGAUGUAAGCAAUUUAAACAGCGAUCUAGGCAAACAGUUGGAGAAUAAUUUAUUCAGUGCACUUUUUUUUCUCUCAAUGCUUUGUCUGUCCUUUGUCUGUUGCUUUGGUCUAAAUGUGUGUAUUACUGAAAGGUGAAGGUGGUGCAAAUAAAUCUGCUCACACUGUACA